rnacentral:rRNA from 1 species
UGGGGGAUAUUGCGCAAUGGGGGCAACCCUGACGCAGCAACGCCGCGUGAAGGAUGAAGGUUUUCGGAUUGUAAACUUCUUUUAUUAAGGACGAAACUUGACGGUACUUAAUGAAUAAGCUCCGGCUAACUACGUGCCAGCAGCCGCGGUAAUACGUAGGGAGCAAGCGUUGUCCGGAUUUACUGGGUGUAAAGGGUGCGUAGGCGGCUUUGCAAGUCAGAUGUGAAAUCUAUGGGCUCAACCCAUAAACUGCAUUUGAAACUGUAGAGCUUGAGUGAAGUAGAGGCAGGCGGAAUUCCCCGUGUAGCGGUGAAAUGCGUAGAGAUGGGGAGGAACACCAGUGGCGAAGGCGGCCUGCUGGGCUUUAACUGACGCUGAGGCACGAAAGCGUGGGUAGCAAACAGGAUUAGAUACCCUGGUAGUCCACGCUGUAAACGAUGAUUACUAGGUGUGGGGGGUCUGACCCCUUCCGUGCCGGAGUUAACACAAUAAGUAAUCCACCUGGGGAGUACGGCCGCAAGGUUGAAACUCAAAGGAAUUGACGGGGGCCCGCACAAGCAGUGGAGUAUGUGGUUUAAUUCGAAGCAACGCGAAGAACCUUACCAGGUCUUGACAUCGAGUGACGAUCCCAGAGAUGGAAUUUCCCUUCGGGGCACGAAGACAGGUGGUGCAUGGUUGUCGUCAGCUCGUGUCGUGAGAUGUUGGGUUAAGUCCCGCAACGAGCGCAACCCUUACUAUUAGUUGCUACGCAAGAGCACUCUAAUAGGACUGCCGUUGAUAAAACGGAGGAAGGUGGGGAUGACGUCAAAUCAUCAUGCCCUUUAUGACCUGGGCUACACACGUACUACAAUGGCGUUUAACAAAGAGAAGCGAAACCGCGAGGUUGAGCAAAUCCCCAAAAAACGUCUCAGUUCAGAUUGCAGGCUGCAACUCGCCUGCAUGAAGUCGGAAUUGCUAGUAAUCGUAGGUCAGCAUACUACGGUGAAUACGUUCCC